GCCAGGCGAGGUGAUGCACCCCUGUAAAUCCAGCAGCUCAGGAGGCUGAGGUAGGAGGAUCACAAGUUCAAGGCCAAUCUCAGCAACUUAGUGAGAUCCUGUCUCUA
rnacentral:sRNA from 1 species